AAAAUAAAGUGUCCAGGGAUGGGAAUCGAACCCACAGUGUUCCGCUUAUCGGGCAGAUGCCAUGUCCACUAGGCUUUAUUU
rnacentral:tRNA from 1 species